rnacentral:miRNA from 1 species
UUAUCAUUUGAUUAGUGUU